rnacentral:rRNA from 1 species
AGGGAUCAUUACUGAGUUUACGCUCUACAACCCUUUGUGAACAUACCUAUAACUGUUGCUUCGGCGGGUAGGGUCUCCGUGACCCUCCCGGCCUCCCGCCCCCGGGCGGGUCGGCGCCCGCCGGAGGAUAACCAAACUCUGAUUUAACGACGUUUCUUCUGAGUGGUACAAGCAAAUAAUCAAAACUUUUAACAACGGAUCUCUUGGUUCUGGCAUCGAUGAAGAACGCAGCGAAAUGCGAUAAGUAAUGUGAAUUGCAGAAUUCAGUGAAUCAUCGAAUCUUUGAACGCACAUUGCGCCCGCCAGCAUUCUGGCGGGCAUGCCUGUUCGAGCGUCAUUUCAACCCUCAAGCUCUGCUUGGUGUUGGGGCCCUACAGCUGAUGUAGGCCCUCAAAGGUAGUGGCGGACCCUCCCGGAGCCUCCUUUGCGUAGUAACUUUACGUCUCGCACUGGGAUCCGGAGGGACUCUUGCCGUAAAACCCCCAAUUCUCCAAAGGUUGACCUCGGAUCAGGUAGGAAUACCCGCUGAA